CGCUAGUACGCUACUACCACUCUCCGCCUCCGCCUCCGCCGCCGUAUUAGGUCGUCCCCGCCGUCGCCGACCACGGGCCACGCUACGCAAGCGCGAUGUCCAGCUCAAACUAUGACUCCAGCUCGCCCAGAGCGGGUCUCGUCGCUCGGGCCACCACCUCCAGUCCUCACCUCCGCGCGGGCGCGGCGGGGGAUCUGGAGCGCCCUCCGUCACCAUCGCCGGACCUCACAGCCGUGCCCACCCUGCGCACACCGCGACCCAGACAGAGUGGCUACCGUGGCCUAUGCAGGCCAUCUCUUGCUCGCGUUCACGCACCAACCCCUUCCCCACCCGCUUUCUCCCCCAGCCCACCUCACGUGUCAUCUGGCGGCGGCGGCAACUAUUCCGAAUGGAGGGUGCAACUUCUUGCUUUCCUCAACGAAUACGCCAUCAACUCGGAGAAGACCGCCGUCUAUAAGGUACUUGCCGCUUUAACGAGAGAGACAGCGAGUCUAAGUUUCCAGAUCCAUUUUGAGCACCUUCUCGAGUACGAUAAGGAAUUAGCGUACGCCAUCUGCAACUCUCAGGACAGGUUAUGAUUGUGUCUACCAUCCCUUCUUUUGUCUACUGUUUUUGGUAUUUCAGUGUGCAUCCAUUGUUUCCUUUUCGGAGAAUUAUCUCCUUGGGUUUGUCAACCAGUUACCGACUUGGUGAUAUUGUGAAAUUGUAGUAGGAUGCUGUUAGGGAACUGGACGGAUUCGAGAACUGGUAGAGGGGAUUCAGAGGAGGAAGAGAGUAGAACAGGGAGAAACAGAGCUCAGGAAUGCGGAAUAGUUCGAUUCAUUUCCUUCAUGGUUCAUGCCCUCCACGGGUUCCCAGCACAAGCAUUUAAACGGCACGGUCACAGGCUGACCGGCUAGCCGACUCACGCACAGCCUGACUUGGGCUUUAACUGGACCGGGCUUGCGGCCCAUGAACGAUAAACUCCUCGUGUUCGCCAGCCGCGACUCAUAUCAUGGCAGAUGCUGACAAAUCCAAUAGCAUUAGAUAGGUCAUAGAUUCAACGAAUGGUUGUAUCCAACUGCGUACCAGUUCCUAAUCAGUGAAGGGAUUGCGAAGAAUGUAGUCGAAAGAAUGAAAAUUACUUUCCACACAAUGCCCCUGAGCAUCAAACCUCUUGAACAGUUUUUAUCGGAACAUGGGUCAUUGAUCAGCAUUAAGUCAAUCUUUAAAGGGAGUUACAAAUUGUGUGUGGCACAUGACAUCGGCAUGGUAUUAGUCCAUGGCUUUCUGGAAGAGAUCUUGAAAAACCACAGAAAAUAUCUUUCUUGGAAUGGGGGAUUUAACAAAAGUGACUUGGUGGUGGUUAAUUCUAUGGAGUGUAGGAUUACUAAGAGGUCAACGCAAGGUGGAUGCCACUGUAGAGCAAAGGAUCUGCACAAAAUUGGGGAGAUUUUCAUGCCAAUGUUCAGUUGCAGUAGAGGAAUGGCACUAUACUUCGAUGUACUGCAAAAAGACUUGAGCAUGGCCAGUGACACUGAAGUAAAAGAGGAAUGGUUUUGGGAAUACCUUCUCUCACACCCGGCACUGAAACGAUCAAUGGCACGUUACGACCUGGAGUGCGGAUUGCAUGCUGCAAUAACCUUUGGAGGCCCAGGCACGCGAAUCCAAUCAAUUCUUGGAGUAUACAGUACUGGAAGGCGCUUAUCCCGACUGAACUUACUGAAAACACACUUGUCACAGAUUCCAGCUUGUAUAAGGUUUUCUGGUUUAACUGCGAGCCUAUUGAAGGUGUUGAUAAUCCUUUUGCGGCUACAGUUGGGGGGCUGCUUGCAUACAAAAGAAAUUUCCUGCAAUAUGGUAAUGAGUAUGUCAAGGUACAUGACCCCACCGAGUUAGAGCAAUUUGCAGCAAAAACUUUUCCCCAAGCUCUACCGAAUAUUCUGCGGAAGUUAUUGAGGGACUGCAAAAUACACAUGAAUGGACCGCUUAUGGUGCCCUGGAAAGCUUAUUGCGCCUCAAGAGUUCACAAUGAUGAUAAUACUGAAGGGAGAACUGACAUCUGUAUUUAAUUCAAUCAAGAGGGCAGGGUCUUCGGUGGACAAGUCUGAGGGUUCUUUUGGAUGGAAAAGGGAUCCUCUUCAUAUAACCAACUACCAUGGUGGAAAGAGUUUAGCACAGGAUGGUUAGAAUGCAUUGGAGCUUUCUAUAAGGAACUCAUUUUUAGUAGAGGUGCUUCUGCCUACCAGUACAAUAUUUUUGUAAUCUGUGGUCCUUGAAGAGACUUAUGUAAGGUGCAGCUGUUUAUCGUUGCUGAUGUGGACCUUGUUCUGUACUAUUUUGGAGUAGCGUGGCAGGGUUGUGCCCACGUAUACAUACUGGUUCUGUAAAUGACCCUGUUGGUGUGUAGUAAUACAUGUUGUGUACAUAUAUAGGAAUUUAUUCUUGAACGCCA